rnacentral:tRNA from 1 species
UCCCUGGUGGCUCAGAGGUUAAAGCGUCUGCCUCCAAUGCAGGAGACCCGGGUUCAACCCCUGGGUUGGGAA